CUCUGAUGGACAUUGAGUUCACCAACACUGGCAUCUUGAUUAAAGGAAGAAAGAGUGCUCGCUAUUUAUGUUCCAACACCAACAACACUCUCUACAGCACGUUUCAGCUGACGGAGAACUGCAAAUUUAAGGAGGGAGGCGCCAACGACCCUUCAAGUGACAAUGGGAAUAUGGGGCACGGCAACUCUUCACCACCAGAGUUAGACUCCGGCUGCCCACAGUCGGGACAAAUCAAUCCCGCUCGAGCAGAUCCACUGGGAUUGAUCGAAUGUUGAGUCACUACACCUCAGGAGUUCAGCAAUAAAUGGGGGCAACAGCCUCAGAUAUUAUUUAUUUAAACACGUAAUCAUCAAUGUUAAUGAACCGUUUUAUUUAUAAAAGAGGAGAUUGUUACAUAACGUGAAAGGCUGAAACUGGUUUAUUUUGAUAACCUUUUUAUAUAAAUGGUUGUUCGCUA